rnacentral:tRNA from 1 species
CAGGGAGACAACAAAAUGUUAAAUAUUAAUUUUGUCACCUUAGGUCGAUCGGUAUCUCACAUCCUUAAAUUUAAUUAAGGAUUUUAUUUCCUAAGUUUUUUCUAGGUCACACCCAUUACUUUUCCUGGGCCAUUAGCUCAGGUGGUUAGAGCGCACCCCUGAUAAGGGUGAGGUCCCUGGUUCAAGUCCAGGAUGGCCCAUAUCUCUAUGUUGGGGGUAUAGCUCAGUUGGUAGAGCGCCUGCUUUGCAAGCAGGAUGUCAGCGGUUCGAGUCCGCUUACCUCCACUGAUUACCACCUCUUCCAUAACCGGUAGAAAGGAAAUGUUUUGAGUUGUGAUCAUUAUUCUGAACGAAUCUAGCUUCCUAAUGAAAUCAUUAAGAUGCUGGAUUCAUUGAAUUAAUUUCAUUGUUUUCAGAGAACCUUGACAACUGCAUAGAUUUUUUUAAAGACAAUAAGCAUCUUUAAUGAUGCAGAUUUAUUAUUUGUGCGAAUGCAUUAAUAACAAUUCUAUUAAGCUGAUGCUUCAAUUUUGAAGUUAUU